rnacentral:rRNA from 1 species
UAGGUAAAUUGUCUAGGGAAACUGCCUGAUGGAGGGGGAUAACUACUGGAAACGGUAGCUAAUACCGCAUAACGUCGCAAGACCAAAGAGGGGGACCUUCGGGCCUCUUGCCAUCAGAUGUGCCCAGAUGGGAUUAGCUAGUAGGUGGGGUAAUGGCUCACCUAGGCGACGAUCCCUAGCUGGUCUGAGAGGAUGACCAGCCACACUGGAACUGAGACACGGUCCAGACUCCUACGGGAGGCAGCAGUGGGGAAUAUUGCACAAUGGGCGCAAGCCUGAUGCAGCCAUGCCGCGUGUAUGAAGAAGGCCUUCGGGUUGUAAAGUACUUUCAGCGAGGAGGAAGGCGUUAAGGUUAAUAACCUUGUCGAUUGACGUUACUCGCAGAAGAAGCACCGGCUAACUCCGUGCCAGCAGCCGCGGUAAUACGGAGGGUGCAAGCGUUAAUCGGAAUUACUGGGCGUAAAGCGCACGCAGGCGGUCUGUCAAGUCGGAUGUGAAAUCCCCGGGCUCAACCUGGGAACUGCAUUCGAAACUGGCAGGCUAGAGUCUUGUAGAGGGGGGUAGAAUUCCAGGUGUUGCGGUGAAAUGCGUA